GAGUAUUAGCCUAGUGGUAUCAACAUAAUUUCAAGUCUCAAGUUGGGAUGAAAUGUGUAGAUUUAAUAUUAGAACAACGAGUGCAUGUGUAAACCGUUAAAAUAAUUAAUUUUCAUUAUGAUCCCUAUUUAUGUCAAUUAAUUAUUUUAACGUUAUGUAUUUUACUGACACUUAUUUUCAUUCCUUUUUGGUCCUUACGUCCAUGAGUCCAUUGUUAGUUUUUUACAUCGACUUUAGACAUCGAAUAUUACCGAAUGUCAAAUAUACCCUUAAGUUUCAUAUAUAAUUUUUGAGACUAACAGAGUGUUAAUGCUCUGUUUUAUCAUUCGAUGUGAUAAAUAGUUUUAUUAUUUAAUAGUUAGCUUUUAUUAUUAUUUUAGUUAUUUCUAUAUUGACAUAUUUCCACGAUAGGCUUCAAUUUUGCCAUUGAUGCUGCAAUGCAUUUUAGACCUCAAGACUAUCUUGUAUACCAAAUCUCCACGGUAUUUUAUAUGACAUUAUGUAACNNNNNNNNNNNNAUAAGUUCAACAAGAUAAAAUAAAACAGGUUGACAAUGUUUGAUUGGACAAGGAUUGGGACCUAUGUCAUUGUGACAAAAAUAGUCCUGGAAAACUUGUCCAUUCUUGUGUAACAAAUGCAGCCUAAUUGACUUAUAUUUACAUGAAUCUUGAUUUUGUUGUUGGAACACAAUACAGUAGGGUUUGGAUGUGGUGCAUGGGUGUUAGGGUGCAAAGUCACUCUUGGAUGUAGUGUUUUAGGCUUACCCUCUUGUAUGUGUAAAUAGGUUGAGUCUUUCCUAUAAAUAGGAAGUGAGUGACUCUUAUUAUGAAAUGAACAAUUUGGAGUGUUAGACUAGAGAGAGAAACUUUGCACAAAUCCAUUUGUAUAUUCUUUCUAGAUCUAAUAUGAGCUUACACAUAUUUAAUUACUCCUUGUGUUCUUGAAUUUACAUGAUGAUUCACUAGAUCUUUCUAAUUCUGCACAUGUCAUCAUAAUCUACACCACUACAUUUCGUAUCAGAGCGGGUGUUCUUGAUUGGAUCAAGAAUUGAUCCUUGAUGGCUAUCUUGAUUUGGUGAUUCUUCAUGUUCUUAUUGAUCUUCGUGUUUUGAGAGUGUUCUGUGUUCUAGAAAUCGAUUUUUUCCUUGAUUUGAUCCAUAAUUCGAUUUUCUCUCUCUAGAAUACUUGUUUGUAUCACUUUUUCUCUCUAGAAAACUCAUUCAAAAUCACUUUCUCUCUCUAGAAAUUUUCAAGUUCUUGUGAUCAUGGUGAAUUUGCAUUAUGAUUCUUGGGUUGUGAUCGUUGAAGAUGUCAAAUACAAAGUCAAUGAAGAUCAGUUUUAUGGGUUAUUGUUAAACCGGUUGAUUUCAUGGGAUACUAUGGUUUCUUAUGGAGGCUUGAAAGAUGAUCAUGGAAUGUUAAUUUUUCAACGACUUGGGGAGAUUGAAUUUUUAAUCACAAUCGCAUUGUACAUGUUAAAUCGUAAUGGAAAUCAGAAGGAAGGAAAAGAAAGAGAUUUGUUUAAUAAGAAAUACAUUUCUCUUAUUGAAGACCCAAAUGAUCUUCUUGCUCUUAAGGUUUUUGAAGUUCAAAACAAUGGAGUUCAAUGUGAUGUUCUUGAGGUUCAAGAAAAAGGAGUUCAAGUUGAUUUUCAAGAUGAAAUUUUUUUUU
rnacentral:lncRNA from 1 species